ACUGCGGCGGAAGCAAAGCUCGGAACCCGCAUCUCGGCUCCGUGACUUCGGGGGAUGCGGAGCGGUGGACACUUCCGGCGGCGGCGACCAAAGAUCUUUGUUGGCGACAUGGAGGAGCCGGAGCUGCAGCUGCGAGUUCGUCGGGUUACAGAUAAGUUCACGGAGAGCAUGUACUUUCUGGCCAACGAACCAUCGGUGGCUCUUUACCGUCUCCAGGAGCACGUCCGGCGAUCCCUCCCCGAGCUGGUGCAGCACAAGACAGACAUGCAAGGCGUGGAAGAACAAUGCCAAGGAGCGAUAUAUACUGUGGAGUAUGCCUGCAGUGCGGUGAAGAGCAUGUCUAACAGUGCAGCCUACUUCAAAAACAUUGAGGGGUUGCUCCGACAAGCCAUCAGCAUCAAGGACCAGAUGAGCUCUUUGCAGAGCCGCAGAGCCAAGCGUGCACCCCUCCCUUUCCAGGAAGUGAUGCAAAGAAUGUCCUGAGCUUGGGUUGGAGAAUAAGUCGCACGAGCAUCAGGCUUGUCUUCAAGGGCCAGUGUUGGAUGGUGUAUUCAGUGAACAAUGGCCGUCAAGCUCACCCCAGCCCAUGCGAACCAACCGCAUCAGACACUGCGAGGUUCUGAGGAGAUCGGAGAGGUGACAGAGCUGGUUGUGUGUGUGUGUACGCAUUUGCAUAUGUGUACACAUGCAUUUGUGUACUUGCGUAUGCAUGUGCGUUCCCACACGGGCACUCGGAGCUGCCUCUGGUAGAACUUGUUUCAUCAGCACUUUGUGACAAUGCUGAAGAGUUUAUUCCACUAAAGCUGUACCACUCCUGCACGCAAGCUGUUCCUUGGUUCUCUAUCCAAGACAUGUUGCACACUGACGGGGCGAAGGCUCGCCUGCCCGCUGUUAUCUGUGAUAAAGAAGAUUGUGCACAGAGGACAUUUGGUCCCAGUUUCCAUCAAGACCCUCCUCACGAUAGCUGAAAGCACAGUAAAAAAGACUCUAGCCUCGGUGUGUGAUCUCACGGCUGCACUGCUCGAAACUCCUCACUCCUGCCUCGAGAUGCGGUUUGGGCCAUUCUGUGACGAGGGCUCGAUCUGGCCAGUGCCCGAGAACUCUGUGUGGUUUUGGUGGGCAUGCAUUAACUGUGGUAAAUAAAUGGAUAGAAAGUA